AGUCCCCUUACCGGUUGACACUUCCGCAUCAUCUACCAGUUUUGCUAUUGGAGCCUCUUCCACAUCUUCUAACUCUCCUACUUCAACAGUCCCUUUACCAGUUGUCACUUCCAC